rnacentral:rRNA from 1 species
AGUGAACGCUGGCGGUAGGCCUAACACAUGCAAGUCGAACGGCAGCACAGAGGAGCUUGCUCCUUGGGUGGCGAGUGGCGGACGGGUGAGGAAUACAUCGGAAUCUACUCUGUCGUGGGGGAUAACGUAGGGAAACUUACGCUAAUACCGCAUACGACCUACGGGUGAAAGCAGGGGAUCUUCGGACCUUGCGCGAUUGAAUGAGCCGAUGUCGGAUUAGCUAGUUGGCGGGGUAAAGGCCCACCAAGGCGACGAUCCGUAGCUGGUCUGAGAGGAUGCUCAGCCACACUGGAACUGAGACACGGUCCAGACUCCGACGGGAGGCAGCAGUGGGGAAUAUUGGACAAUGGGCGCAAGCCUGAUCCAGCCAUACCGCGUGGGUGAAGAAGGCCUUCGGGUUGUAAAGCCCUUUUGUUGGGAAAGAAAUCCAUCUGGUUAAUACCCGGGUGGGAUGACGGUACCCAAAGAAUAAGCACCGGCUAACUUCGUGCCAGCCGCCGCGGUAAAAC